UUGGAGCAAGAAGAGCAAGGAAGGCC
rnacentral:piRNA from 1 species